CUCAGGAUGAACGCUAGCGGCGCGCUUAAUGCAUGCAAGUCGAGCGAUGAGACUCCUACGGGAGCACAUCAGCGGCAGACGGGUGAGUAACACGUAGAUGACGUACCCUCAAGACGGGGAUAACGGAUGGAAACAUGCGCUAAUACCGGAUGACCUUACGAUGUCAGAAUGGUAAGGAAAGCUACGGCGCUUGAGGAGCGGUCUGCGGCCCAUCAGCUAGUUGGUAGGGUAAAGGCCUACCAAGGCGAAGACGGGUAGGGGGUGUGAGAGCACGGCCCCCCACAAUGGGACUGAGACACGGCCCAUACUCCUACGGGAGGCAGCAGCAGGGAAUAUUGCACAAUGGACGGAAGUCUGAUGCAGCGACGCCGCGUGAGUGAAGAAGGCCUUCGGGUUGUAAAACUCUUUUGAGGGGGAAGAGCGAGGACGGUACCCCUGGAAUAAGCGUCGGCUAACUACGUGCCAGCAGCCGCGGUAAGACGUAGGACGCGAGCGUUAUCCGGAUUUACUGGGCGUAAAGCGUCUGUAGGCGGAUGUGUAAGUUGGGCGUGAAAGCUCCGGGCUUAACCCGGAGAGGCCGUUCAAUACUGCAUAACUUGAGGGUGUCAGAGGGGAGCGGAAUUCCCGGUGUAGCGGUAAAAUGCGCAGAGAUCGGGAGGAACACCAGUGGCGGAGGCGGUUCCCUGGGGCACACCUGACGCUGAGAGACGAAAGCCAGGGGAGCGAACAGGAUUAGAGACCCUGGUAGUCCUAGCCCUAAACGAUGAGUGCUAGGUGUGGGAUCGAAUGGUUCCGUGCCGGAGCGAACGCGAUAAGCAUUCCGCCUGGGGAGUACGGCCGCAAGGUUCAAACUCAGACGAAUUGACGGGGCCCCGCACAAGCAGCGGAGCGUGUGGUUUACUUCGAUGCUACACGAAGAACCUUACCUGGGUUUGACCUGUACGUGGUAGUGAAUCGAAAGGUGAACGACCCUUCGGGGGAGCCCUUACACAGGGUGCUGCAUUGGGCUGUCGUCAGCNAUCGUGCCGUGAGGUGUCGGGUUAAGUCCCGUAACGAGCGCAACCCUUGCUCCUAGUUACCAAAGUGUCUAGGGGGACCUGCCGGCGGAAACCGGAGAAGUGGGAUGA
rnacentral:rRNA from 1 species